GAUGAAGAACGUAGCGAAAUGCGAUAAGUAAUGUGAAUUGCAGAAUUCAGUGAAUCAUCGAAUCUUUGAACGCACAUUGCGCCCGCGAGUAUUCUCGCGGGCAUGCCUGUCCGAGCGUCAUUUCAACCCUCAGGGCCCGCCUGCUUCGGCAGGCGCGGCGCUGGUGUUGGGGAUCGGCCUAACCGCCGUCCCCCAAAUACAGUGGCGGUCUCGCUGCAGCCUCCCCUGCGUAGUAGCAACACUCGCAUGCGGAGCGCGGCGCGGCCACGCCGUAAAACCCCCGACUUUCUGAACGUUGACCUCGGAUCAGGUAGGAAUACUCGCUGAACUUAAGCAUAUCAAUAAGCGGAGGA
rnacentral:misc_RNA from 1 species